rfam:Triticum aestivum genome assembly, contig: Triticum_aestivum_CS42_TGACv1_scaffold_528405_6DL
GUAGUACUCCCUCCGUUCGGAAUUACUUGUCACAAAAAUGGAUGUAUCUACAACUAAAAUACAUCUAGAUACAUACAUUUCUUGGAUGAGUAAUUCCGAACGGAGGGAGUAUGUA